CAUCCCGAACACGGAAGUUAAGCUCUUUAACGUCGAUGAUACUUGGUGGGUGACUGCCCGGGAAAGUAGAUAGUUGCCGGAA
rnacentral:rRNA from 1 species